GACAACAUUAGCUGCAUGGCCCUCCCCAGCUCUGAUGAUCACAACUUCUCUAUUCUAUGCCCAAUCACAAGUUCGACUUGAUAUCAAUAAGCUACACAUCCAUCACCACAUCAACCUUGAAGGGUGUCAUCCACAACUAGUAUGGUGCCUAUCUCCACUCCAUCAUCACCAUCCUCCUUGAGAUGCAACAAUCCACUUUUUUUUUGGGAUAGUUCCAUUAUACCAUAGUAAUGCC
rnacentral:lncRNA from 1 species